CUCCCCUUUCGCUCUACACCAUCACUCCUUACUCACACCCACCACCUCAGAGCUCUCCCCAGCCAGCCUUUAUAGGGCCUUCUCUCACCGCUCUACCCUCCUUGCAGGUCCUGCCUGCCAGGCCACACCCCUCCCUGGCCUUCCAGCGUUGGCCUGGGCUGUCUCAAGCUGCUGCAGUUGGGGUAGCUGGCUGUUCUGCCUGGAUCAGCAACAGCUGCGUCAUGUAGGCUGGCUGCCAGGCCUCUCUGGCUGAGCUGAUUACUGAAGGUAGGCCCAGCUGUGGCCACUUGGCUGGCUGCCCAGCUCUUCCCACAGAAUGCCUUCAGCAGCUUCACCUGGAGGGGCUUGGUUCUGAGCAUCUCCUAAGCCAGGUUGCUGUCUUCAGGCUGAGGUGGAGGCUGGGGCAUGGCUCUGAGCUGCUGUGGCUGCUUCUCCUCUCUGCCAGUGACUUCAUCCACAUCAAAGGAUUACAUAUGCAACAAUAUUCUUUAAAAGUGUUCUCCAUGAAUUACAAUGGAUCUCCAGACUACAGAGAUCAGUUCCUCUGGAAGAAAUGGCAGCUGUAAAUUGGGAUAACAUUGGAAUGGGAAAGCUGCUAAUGAUAUACAGGAAUAUAAGAAAAGUUACCACCACCAUUAACAUGGAGGCAAUGGAGAUGAAUUUCCCUCUAAGUACCACUUCCAUACCAUCCUACACGUGGAUUUGAGGAAUGCCACAUAGUUUGUUUCUACUGUUUAAUUUCUAAAGAGACUUCAGAAGAAAUUUAUUUGUUAAAUAAAAGUGAUUGAUGUAGUUUUCAAUUUGUUUGAUGUCAUUUAUUCUCAGUGUACAUUCUGUCCAAGCAUAGUCUGUCCACAACUUGUCACCAAUCCUUGA